UAUGUCGUUUUGAAUCACAUA
rnacentral:piRNA from 1 species